AUUCCAGCUCCAAUAGCGUAUAUUAAAGUUGUUGCAGUUAAAAAGCUCGUAGUUGGAUUUGUGGUGCUGCCUGCAGUCCAAUUAGCUUUGGUGCUAGCGGGUGGUGCCAUCUUUGGGUGGAACCUGUAGGGCAUUAGCUUGUUUUGCAGGGGAUAUUCAUCGUUUACUGUGAAAAAAUUAGAGUGUUCAAAGCAGGCUUACGCCGAUGAAUAUACUAGCAUGGAAUAAUGAAAUAGGACUUUGGUACUAUUUUGUUGGUUUGCGCGCCAAAGUAAUGAUUAAUAGGGACAGUUGGGGGUAUUCGUAUUCCAUAGUCAGAGGUGAAAUUCUUGGAUUUUUGGAAGACGAACUACUGCGAAAGCAUUUACCAAGGAUGUU
rnacentral:rRNA from 1 species